rnacentral:rRNA from 1 species
UACGUAGGGUGCGAGCGUUGUCCGGAAUUACUGGGCGUAAAGAGCUCGUAGGUGGUUUGUCGCGUUGUCCGUGAAAACUCACAACUCAAUUGUGGGCGUGCGGGCGAUACGGGCAGACUGGAGUACUGCAGGGGAGAUUGGAAUUCCUGGUGUAGCGGUGGAAUGCGCAGAUAUCAGGAGGAACACCGAUGGCGAAGGCAGAUCUCUGGGCCGUAACUGACGCUGAGGAGCGAAAGCAUGGGGAGCGAACAGG